rnacentral:tRNA from 1 species
GAGANNGACAUAGUGGAUAUGAAAUUGGCUUGAAACCAGUUUUAGGAGGUUCGAGUCCUUCCUUUCUUA